GACGAACGCUGGCGGCGCGCCUAACACAUGCAAGUCGAACGGAGUUUGAGAGAGCUUGCUUUUUCAAACUUAGUGGCGAACGGGUGAGUAACGCGUGAGUAACCUGCCCUGGAGUGGGGGACAACAGUUGGAAACGGCUGCUAAGACCGCAUAGGCGCGGACGGGACAUCCCGUCCACGUUAAACGUCCUUUCGGGGACGGCUGAAGGAUGGGCCUGUGGCGCAUUAGCUUGUUGGCGGGGCAACGGCCCACCAAGGCGACGAUGCGUAGCCGGCCUGAAAGGGCGACCGGCCACAGGGGCACUGAGACACGGGCCCC
rnacentral:rRNA from 1 species